rnacentral:rRNA from 1 species
UGUAAAGUUCAAGCCCCGAUUAUGAGGGCAAAACCGCGAAUGGCUCAUUAAAUCAGUCAUAAUCUACUUGAUUGUUUAAAGUUUAUAUGGAUAACUGUGGUAAUUCUAGAGCUAAUACAUGCACAAAGGGGGCGACUCUCGCAAGGGAGAAGCUCUGCGUUUAUUAGACUAAGACCAAUGAGGCUGCAGCAAUGUAGUCCUCUCAUUAUAAGGUGACUCUGAGUAAAUAAUGGGUGAAAGCCCAUGUUGCUGACCUGACAUACCAAAAGGCCCGCAAGGGUCUGUCAGGCAAAUCAACCGAGUGUCUGCUCUAUCAACUGUGGAUGGUAGGGUAACUGCCUACCAUGGUGAUGACGGGUAACGGGGAGUUAGGGCUCGACUCCGGAGAACAAGCCUGAGAAACGGCUAGUAGGACUAAGGUCUGCAGCAGGCGCGAAACUUACACAAUGCUAGAUUAAAAUUAGCGAUGUAGUGAAGAAAAAUAACGAUGUACUUCCAUUUAAACAUGGUAGUACAAUUGGAAUGAGACGACUGUAAACCGGUCAGUCGAGUAACAAAUGGAGGGCAAGUCUGGUGCCAGCAGCCGCGGUAAUUCCAGCUCCAUUAGCAUACAUUAAAGUUGUUGCGGUUAAAAAGCUCGUAGUUGAAUUUUAGGCGAGCUCUAUUGGGAUGCAACCGUUAAGGUUUCUUGGGCGCGCAUCCUAGCGGGUGUCUCCUUGCAAACUGGUUGUAUUUUCCCUGUAGGAACUCGCUGUUUCGUCACUUAAUCGAGUGCGAAGCGGGCUGGAACGAUGGUUUAUCUUCGCGAUUGCCUUGUUACAGCAUGUUUACCUUGAGAAAAUUAGAGUGCUCACAGCAGGCAGUUGAGGUGUAAAAGCCCCUUUAUGCUUGAAUAAUGUUGCAUGGAAUAAUAGAAUAUGGCCUCGGUUCUAUUCUGUUGGUCUUAUAGAACAACAAAUAAGUUGGUUAAAGCGACCAAAAGUCCGUUUGGUAGUGUGGUUUCAGGUGGCUUGCUAUGCUCUCUGGGCGGCUCUUUUAGUUGGGCUUAGUCGUCGAUAGUGUUGCCUGGGGCCUUAAAAUCUCAGAGCCGCGUCGCGCUUAUGUCUCCCAGCUAGAAUCCCCCGGUGUUAGCUGGCUCGCUUGAUUCCAAUCAAAGCACUCCUUAUUGGGCUAGCUUUUAGUCAACUGAGGCAAUGGUUAAAAGAAAUAGUCGCGGCGGCAUCAGUACUGCAUCGUGAGAGGUGAAAUUUUGGGGACCGUCAGUGAAAUUCUUAGACCGAUGC